AGAGUUCUAAAGAAAUAGAAGCUUGAAGUAUCAUCUCUCAAGUAUAUAGACACUACUUCAUGGUGUGGUAAUAUAUGCAUAUAGAAGCUAGUAAACACCUCCAGGAGAUGCAAAAGGAAUUAGAACUGCCACAAGGUGCAAGCAAAACCUUGAGGUAAUCAAUCUGCAUCCCAUUUUGGAUGAGAAUAUUUGCAACUUUGAAGGUUAUUUUAAGGACAGCAGCAGAAGAAUUAUGGCAGCUCUUCACGGAAAAAAAAAUGGCAACAAUAAAAUCAGCAACUCCUGCCAAAUAAAUGGGCAUAAAAAAGAAAUCAUAGACUGCUGGCAAUGGUGGGGAAAAAGUUAUAAAAAUUGUCUCUGCACCAUCUUCCUUUUGUCCUCUAAAAUAUUCACAUUAGCAAAAGUAUAUAACAGCUGAUGAAGAAAUACUGAUAAUUUGUCUUUUUCUGUUUUUCCUCUUCUAAUCCUUCACCCAUCUGAGCUAAAGUCUAGACCUAAGGAGGCUACUAAUUCAGGGAUCGAGUAAUCUGCCAAGCAAGAGUUUAUUCAAGCACAGUUUGAAAUAAAGGUUUCAAAUGCA
rnacentral:lncRNA from 1 species